UGAGGAAUAUUGGACAAUGGACGAAAGUCUGAUCCAGCCAUGCCGCGUGCAGGAAGAAUGCCCUCUGGGUUGUAAACUGCUUUUAUAAGGGAAUAAACCCCCGGACGUGUCCGGGGCUGAAUGUACCUUACGAAUAAGGACCGGCUAACUCCGUGCCAGCAGCCGCGGUAAUACGGAGGGUCCAAGCGUUAUCCGGAUUUAUUGGGUUUAAAGGGUCCGUAGGUGGGACUAUAAGUCAGUGGUGAAAUCUUUCGGCUUAACCGGAAAAUUGCCAUUGAUACUGUAGUUCUUGAGUAUGCUCGAGGUAGGCGGAAUAUGUCAUGUAGCGGUGAAAUGCAUAGAUAUGACAUAGAACACCGAUAGCGAAGGCAGCUUACCAGCGCAUAACUGACACUGAGGGACGAAAGCGUGGGGAGCGAACA
rnacentral:rRNA from 1 species